ACCACGGUGUGGCCGAUGACUGGGGUGAAGUCGUAACAAGGUAGCCGUAGGGGAACCUGCGGCUGGAUCACCUCCUUAACGAA
rnacentral:rRNA from 1 species